UACGUAGGCAGCAAGCGUUGUUCGGAGUUACUGGGCGUAAAGGGUGUGUAGGCGGCCUGUUAAGUUCCGUGUGAAAUCUCCCGGCUCAACCGGAGGGUGCGCGGAAAACUGGCGGCUAGAGUGCGGGAUGGGAGAGUAGAAUUCCUGGUGUAGCGGUGAAAUGCGUAGAUAUCAGGAGGAAUACCGGUGGUGUAGACGGCUCUCUGGACCGCAACUGACGCUGAAACACGAAAGCGUGGGUAGCAAACAGGAUAGAUACCCUCGU
rnacentral:rRNA from 1 species